rnacentral:lncRNA from 1 species
ACAUACAUGUAUAGCUUUUGAACAACAUGUAAAAUUUUGAUCAAAUUACUGCUUCAUCAAAUAACAAUGUUACAAUGUAAUUAUCAAACUCAAUUUGUCAUGUCAUGGCAUGAACAAAAAAUCUUCUUGAACACUUGAAAACACAGCACGCACGCACACGCACACUUCACACAUUCAAAAUCACCAGUAAACAAAGCUUUUGUUUCAACUUUCAGAACAAGGGAAGCCACAUGAAUGUGGGCGAGUAGCACUUGUGGUGUCUAAUUGACUCCCGCCUCUGAUCCCCCUGACACACCGGGGCCUCUCGGUCGAAUCUCGACAUGCUGCAAGAGUAAUGAGCGGCACGGUGAGUUCUCUAGCUACACAACUGUAACUCUGUAAGUAUUGUACAGUAGAAAACACUGUCGAAUUGUGUUUUCCCGCCUUCCGGGUAAAAUGUGAACAUACCUCCUGCACGGCCGGCGCCGGCGCCGACUUGGUGGUCUCCUCCCUGACCCCGGCGCGGCCGCAGCCGGCGACACGGUCGACGAGGCCGAAAAACCUAUCCUUGAGCUGGGCGGCGAAGUUGGCCAUGGUGGUGGAGGUGGAGCUAGCCGAAGUGAACAGAGUGCACCUGCACGCUGCUACUCUCUCGUCAAUCUGAACCACGCAGGUAGCUGUAGUGCUUGAUUUUGGUGGGGUGAGAGCGGUGUG